UCUCGAGGUAAACCAGCAUUUCUUUUAUAUCACUGACUUCAGAUAAGAAUAUAGGUGGCGGCUUGGCAGAUUCAUUUAAGUUAUCUUCAGUUAUCAUGUGCAGUGCUUCGUUUUCGUCUUCAUUUCCGUUAUUAGGAGUGCUGUCGCUUAGGAGGGCAAAUUGAUUGGAGCUGGUUCUGGGUGCUAAGUCCAGAGCGAUUUUUUUCUUUAGUAGAAUAGGAGAGGCUUGGUUUUGUC
rnacentral:lncRNA from 1 species